rnacentral:lncRNA from 1 species
UUUCUAAAGAUUUUCACCUGAUCUAUUCACAUGCUCAAGUAUCUAUAAGAAAACAACUCCACAAAUUUCCCAUGAUUCUGUCCUCUCUCUCUAGAUACCUCCUGUUCUCUUUCCUUGACUUCUACUCCUUUUGAUAUUUAGUGGUAAAAGUUUCAUUGUAAUCUAAUUUUCACUGAUUUUUUAAAGUACCGGAAACAUUCAUGCCUAUUCACUAAAAGCAUUCUUGCCAAAAAUAAAUGGGCUUUUUUUUUUUUUUAAGAUAAGUGACCUGAAACCACUUCUAUCCCAACAUAACAAGUAAAUUCCAGCACACAACAAAUCCUGGCCACCACAUGUUUUCCUUUAACCCAGCAGGCUAGCCCUGGCUGCAGUUAAUCUCCACAAAUCUAGCUUGCUAUAGUCAUAGAAGUUUAAAAAGAAAAAGACCUAACCAUCAGAUCAUUGUGUCUGUGGAAUAAUAUCCUAAAUCAAGAGAAAAAAACAAGCAUCAAAGAAAGCUAAAUAACUUUCCCAAAAAUGGCUUUAAAGUAAUUCUCAAAAUUUCCAUUCCAUUGUCUGACUCAGGUUAUGGUCUUUUGACAUCAUUAUGCAGAUAGUCAAUCAUGACUCUAACCUUUACAUAAACAAAUAUUUUGACAUGCUAUAGUGAUUUUGAUGCAAAUGUGAGUUACAGAAUCCAUUGAUUAUAGGACAUAUUAAGGUAAUCAAUGACACCUGUAACUAGCAUCCUAAUUUGUGGAUAAAUCUACAUUCACAACAUAUCUCUUAAAGUUUAAUUACUUCUUUGGUACUUAGAACCAAGAAUGCAUCCUUCAGCCAUUUGAACACUUAAAUGUAGCAGUUGCAUGUAAAUCCUGUAUUUCUUUAAUGAGUAUCUGUGCACAGAUUAGGGCCUCAUCUGCCCUCACUAAAAUCUUUACAGGUAUAUGCAUGAGAUGUACAUAUUUUAAGGAAAAGUUUACAUUGUUCAAAUGAAACAUUUCAUAUUCAAAGUAAUAUAAAUAUGAUUACAGAGUAAUUACUUAGUUACAGAGCAAGGGUUAUGAAAGAAAACCAUAACCCUUUAGUAAAAAAAAUAAUCAAAGCAUAGUGAAGAUGUAAUUUAUCCCUUAUUUCAUGAACUAUAUAUGAUAGAGUGAUAUAAACCUAAAUGAAGCUAUAUUUAUAAAAAUAAACAUAAUCCCUGCUUUCAAGCACUGUGAAAUAAUUUAACAGGUGCUUAUUAAAUUAAAUAAUAAUUAAUCAUUUCAUAAAUGAAUUCUUACAAUAUUUAUCAAGGAUCUCAGAAAGAGUAGAAUAACAUUAUGCGAGGUUCAUCUGUUAUUCAGUUUUUCAAAAGUUGUAAUUUUCUCUUAGUCUUUUCUAAAAAUGUUACUCCAUAUUAUUAGUCAUCUCAUCACAUGAUGCUUAAAAAUAACUUUGAGUAAAAACUAUUGAUAUUCAACACAGGCAGUAUUGCUCACAUUCACACAUACACAUAUUUUCCUUCUGAAGUUUGGCGAUGAUACAUCACACUUUUAGGAUGAUAAUCCAGAAAAAAAUGUAAUUGCCCUAAAACCAAAAGUUAAAAUGCUUUUAAAAGCUAAGGGUAUAAAUUGUUCAAUCUUCAUUUAUUAGUAAAGUUAAAAAGAACAUUCUUAGUAAAAAUCAUAGAUUUUCAUCCCUUAUUUAAAUAAUUAAGUUUAUUUUUCUCCAAAUAAAUUGAACCUAUUCAUAAAAAUAAAACUCUGUAUUUGUUUAACAGGAAGAAUGAAAUUAUUUCCACCUAUAGCUUAAUAUAAAUAGAAUCAAGAAUUGGUGCUACAUUAUAAGUAAAAUGUUAUUUAAUCAUAUGGUAACACUGACAUGGUAAUACAGGACAUACUUAGUUUAAAAGAGCUAUAAUUUGUUAAAAGGCUAAAAUAAUAGACUCUUACCUUAAAUGAGACAUCUGGAAUCACACUUUUCCUUUGGAAGUAAAAAGGCAAUUACAACAGAGUCUACUAGUAGGUCAUUUUGUUAUACAAGUUCUUAUAUUUGAUACUUUCACACGAAAAUAUGGCUCACUUUUGAGGAGAACCAUCACUCUAUGUAUCUUCCUAUCACAAUGAUUAGAUUUAAUGACAUGAUGUCUAAAUGGCAUAGGUAUGAAAACAGUAAUGUUUCACAUUUCAUGUAAAAACAGUUUAAGCAGACUAUCUGCUGUUCUGUUUCAUCAGCAAGAGUGAUCUGACAUUCAUCACAAUGCAUUUUAAGAUGUAGGAGUGACAGAUAUUCUUACCAACCACUACAUGAUAAAUGAUUGAUUUCAACCAAUAUCACAGACAUGAAACACAUUCUGCCAAAAUACCAGAUGCAAAAGAUGCUCAAUCUAAGGAUAUCAAUUUUGUGUCUUAUCCAUAAAGGAUGCAGUUAUACUGGGGUAUAUGUAUGUAAUGUGAAGCAUUAAUAGGAUUUUUUUUCCAUAAACUAAGCAGUGUUUUUGCUGUGAUAAGAACUAAAUAUGUGUAUCAUCCCACAUAGAGAACAAACAACACCCUCCUUCUCGUAAUACUUCAGCUCCUUUUGGAGGAGUUAUCUAUAAUGAUCACAUCACUAAGCAGGACAGAGGAAAGAAUGAGGUCCAGUAGGAAAAAAAGCAUUCUUGACAUGAAAACUCCCCCCUACUUGCUUGAAAAUGGUCCAUAGCAGUAGAAGGUAAGAAUCUAGCAACCAGAGAUUUGCUGAACAUAACAGAAAAGAAAAUGGGAUUUAUUUUUUUCUUUAAUGGGGAAGGGGCUUAACGCUGGCAAGGUUACACUUGAAAGUAAGUCCUCUAGGUAUGAGCUAUUAAUAAAGGGUAAAAUAUAUUCUGGAAUUGGAUUUUCAAAUUAAUAUGAAACCUCUUUUUACUCCAGUGGUUUCUAUAGCAAGUAGAGGAAUGGUCCCCAGAUUUUGUUACUGAACCAGCUGAUAUGCCAGUUAGUAAGUGGAAAGCUCCUACUUUGUGUAUGGUUAUGCUCCUGAGCAUUCUAAAACAAUUCAGCAAGUAACUGCUAUGGCUUGAGGAAAGUAACUGUCUGCCUUUUAAUUCUGAAGAGAACUUUCUUGGAAUCAUGAAAAUAUUUAUCAUAAAAAGGUAUUCAUUUAAAUUCCUUUCUAGAAAUAAUAAUGAAGACAUAAAAUUUGAAAUGAUUCUCAACUUACUAGGAUAGUUUAAUAAAUAAGUGAUGCUACUGAAAGAUGAGGUUCAAUAUUUCUGGGCAGCUGUGAAUCUGGAUAUUAUUUUAUAGUCUUAAAACCGAUCCAGUGUGGUGAAAAGACCAAGCAAACUAAAUACCUGCUUGGCAUGGUUGGAUUUUUAUGUUUUGGUCAUGUAUUUAAAACUGUAAACACAUUUUCCAAAUCUACUCCAUUUAAUUUUUUUCCUACUCAGAAUGUAACGUAAUUUUCUAGCUGAGCAGUUUGUGAAUGAGCUUCAAAAUGCCUGAUGAGAAACUGAAAAUCAUCCCAUGGUUACAGAAUCAACCAAAAGUAUGUCAGUUCCCUCUCCAGGGAGCACAGAGAAAUAUAUCUAUAAGCUAAGAAACAUCAAGCACUCUGUACUACAAACGUUCUGAAAACACUGUGAUUCAGAUGGAAAAAGAGACAAAUAAAGAUAUUUAAAAAGAAAAAUAUUUAUAAAAUGCUGAAGAUCUCUUUAAAAUUGAUUUACUAGCAUGCCCUAUAUUAUACAUAUGUCUUACUUUUUAAAUGGACCACCAAAUGAUUCACACCAUUACGAUAAUGUUGAAAUGCCUAUUAUAUAACCCAUAGCCGAUCUACCAAUCUGUACCUCUUCCACUUGUCCCAUGUUAGUUUUGUGGUAGGAAACUCAAAUGGCUGUAUACUGAGAGACCAGCUAUUGAAACACUUAAAUUUCUUUACAGCAGUUUAAUUUUUAAUGAAGUUUAAAAACAUACAUGUCUUAAAAAAAACAGUGGAGAAGGUGGUAGGAGUAUUACUGUAUGUUAAUAAAAAGCAGCUGAGACAUAUUUACCAAAGACUUUGAAAAUAUGUGUACAAAAGAUAUCACCAGAGCCUUUUAUAAUAUAACUAGUUGGACACCCGGCACUAUUUUCCUUUGAAAAUUAAGCCAAGCCAAAUAAGGUACGUUAGUGGCUAAAACAUUUCUUUCCCUCUCCUUUUAAUUUAACUCUAGCUUUGCAGACAAGACUUGUUUAGAACUUACCGAAGUUUCCCAAAGCAAAACCACAGACCAGUUCCUAAUUCAGAGGCCAGAUCCGCGCGCAACCUCCCUCCUUCAGCUUCUGAUUAUGCUAGUAGCACUUUAUUAAUCAUGUAUGAAUUUCUGCUCGUGUACCCUGAAGCGAUCACACACGAUCCAAUCCCCUAUCAAAAAAGGAAGCCUUACCUGAUGGCAGAAACAGCGGCUGCAGGAGCAGCAGUAGAAAGAGCAGCAGCAGCAGCAAGAUGCAACAAGCCAGGCUUUGCAAGGAAGGUGAGAUAUUCUCUCUCUCUCCCCCUCUCUCUUUCUCUCUGUGUUAUUCUUCUAAAUCACUGUAGCAGCAAACUGCCUUGCAUUGUGUCCUCUUUCAGUCACAAAAAGGUACUUCAAGCCGCGCAGCCAGCAGACACCACUUUCUUCCUGGAAGCGGCUGCCUCUCUUCUCAGAAACGCCUGGACCCC